CUCCACAUAUUCUCUCUCAUUCCCUAAUGGUUAGAAAAGUGUUCCUGACGUGAGGCAGUCGGAAAGGGCAGGUGUGAAGGGGAGAAGUCAAACAGUGAGGAAGAUUUGAGAAUCGGGAAAUGUCGAUGGGAGAUGCAGGAAGAGACAUCACCUAAGUUUGCACUUUAUCCCGUUGUGAUGCGGUUUGAACGGCAUCGUCUGGAUGAAAGCAUUACAUCAACAAGAUGUGACAACAAGAACGGAAGAGAGGGAAGAGAGAGAGAGCAAAAACAAAUGGAUGGCGGGCAUCACUGAAUCGUGGCUGACAAAAGUUUAUAGUUGGGUGCUUAAAUCCAAGGAUAAAUAUUUAAUCGAAAGGAUACGCAGGUAGGUGAAAGUGUUGGGUCGAAGCUGCUGUCAUUAAAAAUGAAAAGUCCUGAGAAAGAGGUGAUGUCGGAUUAGACGAUGAGGAUGUUAAGAAACUGCGUAGGUAAAAUGACCCUGAUGGAAAUUAUAUACAGGCAUGUUAACAGUAGCCAGGAUGUAGGCUGCAGAUUACAACGGGGGAGAGGAGAGCAUGGAAAAGGGUCAAUGCUAAAAUUGUCACAGGGAAUUUCAAUAUCCAGGUAGCUUUGGAAAAUCAGGUCGGUGCUGAAUCCCAAGUGAGGGAAUUUAUAGAAUGCCUAUGAGAUGGCUUUUGAGAGAAGCCUAUGGUUGAGCCCACUAUAGGAAAGGCGGAUCUGGAUUCUGUGUUGUGUAUUGAACCAGAUUUGAUUAGGGAGCUUCAGCUGAAUAAACCGUUAAGAGGCAGUGAUCAUAAAAUAGCAAA